ensembl:snRNA
GUGUUGUAUGAAAGGAGAAAAGGUUAGCACUCCCCUUGACAGGGAUGGAAGAGGCCCUUGGGCCUGACAACACACAUACAGUUAAGGCAUUGCCACCUACUUCGUGGCAUCUAACCAUCGUUUUUU